rnacentral:pre_miRNA from 1 species
UAUUUCAAAAGUUGCAUAUGACAAGAUUUGUUCCAUUGUAAAUGCAUCUUUUGAGAUAGA